rnacentral:lncRNA from 1 species
GUAAGUUCUCUAUGUGGUGUGGCUAGGCCACCCUUGGGCGUAUUUUCUUUCUAAUAGGGGUUUAGGGGGUUGAACUUGCUGAGACAAUGUCUCACCCUGUUGUGGACCAAAAUUUCAGAACCGUAGAUGGUAGAACCCCCAGAGGUUGAUCACUCAGAAGUGGGAUCGAAGACUGAGUCCGACUAGUGGUCAUAGGACUGAUCCCUUUUGUAAACUACCACUUUUUG